rnacentral:rRNA from 1 species
GAUGAACGCUGGCGGCGUGCCUAAUACAUGCAAGUCGAGCGAACAGACGAGGAGCUUGCUCCUCUGACGUUAGCGGCGGACGGGUGAGUAUCACGUGGAUAACCUACCUAUAAGACUGGGAUAACUUCGGGAAACCGGAGCUAAUACCGGAUAAUAUAUUGAACCGCAUGGUUCAAUAGUGAAAGACGGUUUUGCUGUCACUUAUAGAUGGAUCCGCGCCGCAUUAGCUAGUUGGUAAGGUAACGGCUUACCAAGGCAACGAUGCGUAGCCGACCUGAGAGGGUGAUCGGCCACACUGGAACUGAGACACGGUCCAGACUCCUACGGGAGGCAGCAGUAGGGAAUCUUCCGCAAUGGGCGAAAGCUUGACGGAGCAACGCCGCGUGAGUGAUGAAGGUCUUCGGAUCGUAAAACUCUGUUAUUAGGGAAGAACAAAUGUGUAAGUAACUAUGCACGUCUUGACGGUACCUAAUCAGAAAGCCACGGCUAACUACGUG